rnacentral:rRNA from 1 species
UACGUAGGUGGCAAGCGUUAUCCGGAUUUAUUGGGCGUAAAGGGAACGCAGGCGGUCUUUUAAGUCUGAUGUGAAAGCCUUCGGCUUAACCGGAGUAGUGCAUUGGAAACUGGGAGACUUGAGUGCAGAAGAGGAGAGUGGAGCUCCAUGUGUAGCGGUGAAAUGCGUAGAUAUAUGGAAGAACACCAGUGGCGAAAGCGGCUCUCUGGCCUGUAACUGACGCUGAGGUUCGAAAGCGUGGGUAGCAAACAGG